GGGGCUGUCAUGGUUUCGACGUGUAUGGUGAAGCCGUGGCUGCGUGCCGAGGUGCUCGGAGCACUCGUAAAACCUCCGGGAAAUUGUAACCGCGAACGAUAACUUCGCCCUGGCUGCGUAAGUAGAGUCCUAAACGGCUCCUUACCUCCCAUUUGCCGAUCAGCCCUGCUCGAGGCGGGUCGGUAGAUGUCGCUAAAAUCGAGCUGGCCCGCGUUCGGCGCCGUAACGGCGCGGGUGAGAACUUUACGGCUGGUUCCUGAUGGGCCUUGCUCUGGCCGAUGAGGGGACGAGGAGAAAGGAACAGAGCAAUACGCACGUAGACGCUGCGGGGGAUCUGUAGGCGGACGCGGGUUCGACUCCCGCCAGCUCCAUAC
rnacentral:tmRNA from 1 species